UCCUCCUUCUAGCUUUGGUGCAUCAUAUAUCCGUCUUUUCCCUCAAUCCAUCUCUCUCUGCUUCGCCGUCAAACUCCAUACAUCUCGCUCACUCCAUCUCUCUGCUCGCUCAAAGUGGAAACCUAAAAAGAAAGUCUCUUUACCCUGCUUAAAUUGGAACUCUAGAAAGAAAUUAUGCAAAUUGAAACUAUUUGAGAAGGUAAUUUCACUCUUGGGUUUUUAAUUUAUUCAUAUUUCUCUCCUCUAGCUCUAAUUUUGUUUUGAUUGCCACUAUUUUUCCCCUAUUUCUAUCUUUCCUCUAACAAGCCCUAAAUUUCGAAGAAGCUAGGUGGUUUGUUGUGGCGACUGUGUGUUCGGAUUUCUCCUCCUCCGUUGUUGAUCCUAAAUUAAAGGUUAGUUUCUAACUUUGUAUGCUUACUGUGAAGAAACUCAAUCUUAUUGGUACCUAAUGUUUGUAUAUAAAAACUGUAACUUAUUUGAAUUAUAUAUGCUUGGGACUUGAGGUAUCUAAAUAGUGCAGAGAUAAGCUGGAGGUGGCAAUAGUUAAGAACUUAACUCUCCACUAAGAAUGCUGAGUCAACAGUUUAGUAGGAGGUGUAAUAGAAUCAAUUUAAUAGCAGUGUACUAAAAGGGAUAUAAUUGAAACUCAGCCUUUUUUCUUUGCCCAAAUUGUUCCAUAUAUGUUUCCUUUGUUUUGCUAUUGCCGAGUACAAUUAUCACCAAAUUUUGGUCCAAGUUUCUCUUCAUUCUCGGCUAAACCAACGAAUUGAGCAAGAAGUGGAACAAGGAAGCUAAAGUAAAUUGUAUUGGGGAGAUUCGGAUAGCAGGGCAGCAGUAUGGAAGGGUUAUAACCAUUCCAUAAAUGCUAAAUUCAGUCCAUUAGACUGUUAUCGGAAGGUAAGUUUUAAUUUGUGAAAUUGAAAUCAAAAUUUGAUUGUUUAUGUGAAAUUGAGAAUUUUUAUUACUGUGAUGUUGGAAUUCUAUAAAGAAGGAAUCUAGUUGUUGUUGUGCAGAACAAUAAGGAAGGAAGUUAUGAUUUAAAGCAUGUAUAAAUGGUAGUAAAACAUGUCCAUAUAAAUAAUGCACAUAUCCUGUUUGAUAAAUUAUUUCUUAGAGAGUUCUAAGCAAAAACAGAAAAUUUAGAUGGGGUAAUGAGCAAGAACUCUUUAUAGUUGUUUUAUAAAAUAAAUCAUGUGAAUUGGGUAAGAUAAGUCAAGUCUAAAAGCUAUUUUUAUAGCAAAUAUGAAAUUUGGACUUGGUUUGUGCGGCUGGCUAGUUUUGAGGCCAUGAAAAAUUGAUUUAGAGUAUCCAAACUUGAUAAUUUAUAUUUUUUUUUAAAAUACUAGGAUAUACCUUCUAUAGCAUCCCAAAGUUUGAUUGCAAUUGGAUCUAUGGUUUGAGAAUUAUAAAAUUGCAAAGUAAGGAUCUUGUAAUGAUCAGCAACAGGGCUGUAACAGUGUUGGGCAGCAGUUGCGCCGCGCUGCAGCAGCUGGCCUAGCUUGCUUGUUGACUGUGUUGCCACUGUUUUGGUUAUCUUGACAGUUAAAUUCAUGUAAGGUAGAGCUAAUUCAGUUGUCCCUAAUUUCAAAUUUCUUAUAUUUUAGUUGCUUAUUGCAUUAGUAGCUCAUCAUGGGGAAAUUAUUUUCUUUUAUAGAAUUCCCCAAAAAAUAUCUAAUGUGCUUAAAAAACAAGAUAAUAUAUUAGAACAUAGAACGAGCCUUUCACUUUUCAGAUAAACUCUGCAAAAGCAUUCGCUCCUAGUAGCAAUUUUAAUAAUGUGUUUUCCUUUAUUGAACUUCCUCAAUUUUGUUUCUUUGAGGCCUUGUAUUUUUGAUAACUACUGAUUAUUCAUGCUAAAGUACUGAAGCAGACAACUUUAGUUCAAAAAUGCCCAUGCUGAGUAAGAUUCUUAAUUCUUUGAAUAACUCUCAAUCUAUUAAACGCAGUAAACAUAAUCUAAAUUUAAAAUAUCAAGUACAUAUAAAGAGAUUUAAAGUAAUUUACUAUGUGCCACUCUGAAAUUGGAUUCUGCCUUCUUCUUGAACGUACAUUAAUGUGGUUUUGUAUAUAAAGAACCAGUUUGACCACUCCUAAGAAUUAUUUAGACACGAUUUUAUAUCAGUCUUUUUGAAAGUCUUACCUUGAUUUAGUUAGAAAAUAGAAAAGUGUAUCAAGUUAAAGAGGUAGGUGGCUUUCAGAAAGAAUUUUCUUAGUCUGAGACUAGUAUUUGCAACCAUUUGUUUUCAUCUACAUAAAUCAUAUUUGGAUCUUUUGUUAAUUUGGGGCCAUAAUUUAUUUACGGAAGGCAUGGUUUGGCAUGAAGAAUUCAUAAUUUGGUAAUUUUUUGCUUAAAUUAGGGAUGAAAGGGGAAGGUUGUAGAAUGUUAUAUUAUAUUUUUAUUUAUUUUGGGUUGGGGAGUGGCGGGAGAAAUUUCUUAAUAUCAGGCUUGUUUUAAUCAAAUCGAAAGCAGUAGUAAGUGAAAGUUGAAGCGAAGCUUAUGAUUUAUUUAUCAAAAGAAAGAAAGAAAAGUGCAGCUUAUGAUUUUAUUUUUGGGUAGCGCUAUGGUUUUUAAAUGAUUUCCUAAAUUGAUGUGCCUACAUGAUCAAUCACUAUGAUGCAGUCAAUCGUCAACCAAUGUAUUAACUAAUGACGCAUCAAUUUGCAAACCCAAAUUUGAGAAAUCACUUAAAAGUUAAAACCCUUAAGAACCUAACAUUUUGUUUUGGAAUGACAUUGUUAUGCAGAAUGAUGAUGCCAUUGUGCCAAAGGCAUUUCAUUUUUUCCUUAAAACAGAAAUGUAUACAUAUUAUAAAUGUAUAAAUAUUAUUUCAUUGUCCCAAAUUUAUUUUUUUAUACAUAUUAUAAAUGUAUAAAUAUCUAAGUUUGAUUAAUAAUAAAAUGAAAAAUAAAAAUAAAUAAUAAGUAAAAAUAAUCUGUGGGGAUUUUGGAUUGAAUCAGCAGCAUGUGAUGAGGCUAAGCUCCUUUAAUUUAAUUUUAUUUUUUUAAUGUUUUCGAAGGAUCAGGAAGCUUGGUGUGAUAGUUAGAGACCUACCUUAUGCUGGAAAAAAAAGAGAGCAGUAGAGGCGGGAGAGAGAGAAGAAAACUCUAAUCGACUCACUAAAAGAAAGAAGAUCGAGGAUAAGAUAUGAAGAGAAGCUCUGUUCCUACUUCGUUGCAAAACUGAAGGUAAAAAUCUCUUUCCGUACUCUAUGUUCAUAGUUUUGUAACAUAAAAAUUGAGGGAAAAUUUUCUUUUACUUGUUACUUUCACUUGAAUUAUAUGAUUCAUUGUAGCUUAUUAAGUUGGUAAUAUCAACAUAUUAAUUUUUUUUUUAUUUUUUUUGUAGUUGGGUACUCUUUGCACAAGUGCUUGGAAAACAAUUCUUGAAUUAUCUGAAGGAUUUUCAAGUGUUUGUCAAUUUGGUUGAGGAAAAAAAAUGCCAAAUGAUCCAAUUAAUGGAAAAUGACAGAUCACAGCAAAAAGAGAGGUAGGCACUUGACAUUUGAACCUUUUGUGCUUCAUAAUUUGAAAAGCCCUCAGGGAUUGGUCUUGUCAAAGAAUUCCAACUUAAAUUACACAUUAUAUCUAGUUCUUGCAAGUAGCCAAUCUCAUUUGGGAUUGAACCUCUCAUUCUAUUGCUGCUUAUAUCCAAGAACUGCAAAUCCUUACAGAGGCCUAAUGACUUGGGAAUCAAACCAGUGAUGUAGUUUCCACUCAACACAAGUUUGUUCAAUAAUCUGAGCUUCCCCAAAUUUUACCUAUUCCUUUUAAUUCCCCCCCCCCCCCCUCCCCUCCCCUCCCCUCCCCUCCCCUUAAAUUUUACUACCUGAUUAACUAUCUUCUUAUUUUUUCAUAUUUAACAUUUUUCACUUUAUGUAACUCAAGCUAGAGAAAGUAGUUGUGCAGCCAACUCCAGUUUCAUGGUGAGUUCUUUGUACUAGUUUAGGAUCAUUGUCUGUUGCCAAAAGAGGUUUUUAUUUUAUUUUUUAUUUUUUUUAAUUUAAGUUCGUCAGUUUCAUCUUUUCUUAUUUCUCGUCUUAUUGAAAUUGAAUUUUGGUGUUUCUCUUGCAGCAUGAAGUUUACAUGCCCAACCUUUGAUUUUCUUGAAGAAAAUGAUGAUGAAGUGGAUCUAACAUGUCACACUUUAUUCCUUCUAGUUCAUUGUUAUUUUUUUAGUUUUCUUAUUUUAGUUAAUAAAUUUUGUAGGUACUAUGGUCCUUGGGAGACCAAGAUACAAUAACAAAUUUUGUAGUUAUUGUGACUCGAGUAUUAUGAUCUAUUUAUAUGUGAAGUUUUAAUUUUAUAAGCUCUUUAUGCAUUAGCUUAUCAAUUAGAUUGAAAAAAGUAUGGC
rnacentral:lncRNA from 1 species